GCCGGGCAUGGUGGAGAGCACCUGUAGUCCCAGCUACUCGGGAGGCUAAGGCCAGAGGAUCACUUGAGUCCAGGAGUUCUGGGCUGUUGUGAGCUAUGCCAAUCGGGUGUCCCCACUAAGUUCAGCAUCAAUAUGGUGACCUCCCGGGAGUGGGGGACCACCAGGUUGCCGAAGGAGGGGUGAACCGGCCGGGGUGAACCGGAAACAGAGCAGGUCAAAACUCCCGUGCUGAUCAGAACUGGAUUAUGUGGUGUACCAUUUCCAUGUCUGCUUCCUUUCACAGAUUCUUGUUUUAC
ensembl:misc_RNA Metazoa_SRP Metazoan signal recognition particle RNA